UACGGAGGAUCCAAGCGUUAUCCGGAUUCAUUGGGUUUAAAGGGUGCGUAGGCGGAUUUGUAAGUCAGUGGUGAAAGCCAGCAGCUUAACUGUUGAACUGCCAUUGAUACUGCAAGUCUUGAGUACAUUUGAUGUGGGCGGAAUGUGUCAUGUAGCGGUGAAAUGCUUAGAUAUGACACAGAACACCGAUUGCGAAGGCAGCUCACAAAACUGUAACUGACGCUGAGGCACGACAGCGUGGGGAUCAAACAGG
rnacentral:rRNA from 1 species